GCAGGGGGCAAGCGUUGUCCGGAAUUAUUGGGCGUAAAGCGCGCGCAGGCGGUCAUGUAAGUCUGGUGUUUAAUCCCGGGGCUCAACCCCGGAUCGCACUGGAAACUGCGUGACUUGAGUGCAGAAGAGGAGAGUGGAAUUCCACGUGUAGCGGUGAAAUGCGUAGAGAUGUGGAGGAACACCAGUGGCGAAGGCGACUCUCUGGGCUGUAACUGACGCUGAGGCGCGAAAGCGUGGGGGGAGCAAACAGGAUUAGAUACCCUGGUAGUCCACGCCGUAAACGAUGAGUGCUAGGUGUUAGGGGGUUUCGAUACCCUUGGUGCCGAAGUUAACACAUUAAGCACUCCGCCUGGGAGUACAGUCGCAAGACUG
rnacentral:rRNA from 1 species